rnacentral:tRNA from 1 species
GAUUCCGUAGUGUAGUGGUUAUCACGUGCGCCUAACACGCGCAAGGUCCCCGGUUCGAGCCCGGGCGGAAUCU